rnacentral:rRNA from 1 species
UACGGAGGGUGCAAACGUUGCUCGGAAUCAUUGGGCGUAAAGCGCACGUAGGCGGACUGUUAAGUCGGAUGUGAAAUCCCUCAGCUUAACUGAGGAAGUGCACUCGAAACUGGCAGUCUUGAGUAUGGAAGAGGGUCGCGGAAUUCCCGGUGUAGAGGUGAAAUUCGUAGAUAUCGGGAGGAACACCAGUGGCGAAGGCGGCGACCUGGGAAGAUACUGACGCUGAGGUGCGAAAGCGUGGGUAGCAAACAGG